rnacentral:rRNA from 1 species
GACGAACGCUGGCGGCGUGCCUAAUACAUGCAAGUUGAGCGCUGAAGGUUGGUACUUGUACCGACUGGAUGAGCAGCGAACGGGUGAGUAACGCGUGGGGAAUCUGCCUUUGAGCGGGGGACAACGUUUGGAAACGAAUGCUAAUACCGCAUAAAAACUUUAAACACAAGUUUUAAGUUUGAAAAAUGCAAUUGCAUCACUCAAAGAUGAUCCCGCGUUGUAUUAGCUAGUUGGUGAGGUAAAGGCUCACCAAGGGGAUGAUAAAUAGCCGACCUGAGAGGGUGAUCGGCCACAUUGGGACUGAGACACGGCCCAAACUCCUACGGGAGGCAGCAGUAGGGAAUCUUCGGAAAUGGACGAAAGUCUGACCGAGCAACGCCGCGUGAGUGAAGAAGGUUUUCGGAUCGUAAAACUCUGUUGGUAGAGAAGAACGUUGGUGAGAGUGGAAAGCUCAUCAAGUGACGGUAACUACCCAGAAAGGGACGGCUAACUACGUGCCAGCAGCCGCCGUAA